rnacentral:rRNA from 1 species
CAUGGCUCAGGAUGAACGCUAGCGGCAGGCUUAACACAUGCAAGUCGAGGGGCAGCGCGGGGUAGCAAUACCCUGGCGGCGACCGGCGAAAGGGUGAGUAACGCGUGAGCAACGUGCCCGUAUGUGGGGGAUAGUCGAUGGAAACGUCGCGUAAUACCCCGUAACACACUUCCCCGCAUGAGGAGGUGUUGAAAGAUUUAUUGCAUACGGAUCGGCUCGCGUGCCAUUAGGUAGACGGCGGGGUAACGGCCCACCGUGCCGACGAUGGCUAGGGGUUCUGAGAGGAAGGUCCCCCACAUUGGAACUGAGACACGGUCCAGACUCCUACGGGAGGCAGCAGUGAGGAAUAUUGGACAAUGGCCGGAAGGCUGAUCCAGCCAUGCCGCGUGCGGGAGGACGGCCCUAUGGGUUGUAAACCGCUUUUGCGAGGGAGCAAUAAGAGUCACGUGUGGCUCGAUGAGAGUACCUCGCGAAUAAGCAUCGGCUAACUCCGUGCCAGCAGCCGCGGUAAUACGGAGGAUGCAAGCGUUAUCCGGAUUUAUUGGGUUUAAAGGGUGCGUAGGCGGUUUGCUAAGCGGGAGGUGAAAUGCCGGCGCUCAACGUCGGAAGUGCCUCCCGAACUGGUGGACUUGAAUGACUCUGCCGUGGGAGGAAUGUGUAGUGUAGCGGUGAAAUGCUUAGAGAUUACACAGAACACCGAUUGCGAAGGCAUCUCACGAA